rnacentral:rRNA from 1 species
UACGAGGGGGGCAAGCGUUGUUCGGAAUUAUUGGGCGUAAAGGGUGCGUAGGCGGUUCGGUAAGUCUUAUGUGAAAUCUUCAGGCUCAACUUGAAGUCUGCAUGAGAAACUGCCGGGCUUGAGUAUGGGAGAGGUGAGUGGAAUUUCCGGUGUAGCGGUGAAAUGCGUAGAUAUCGGAAGGAACACCUGUGGCGAAAGCGGCUCACUGGACAAUAACUGACGCUGAUGCACGAAAGCUAGGGGAGCAAACAGG